CUCGUAGGCGGUUUCGUAAGUCGGAUGUGAAAACUCAGGGCUCAACCCGGAGACGCCAUCUGAUACUGCGAUGACUUGAGUCUGGUAGGGGAACACGGAAUUCCUGGUGUAGCGGUGAAAUGCGCAGAUAUCAGGAGGAACACCGAUGGCGAAGGCAGUGUUCUGGGCCAGUACUGACGCUGAGGAGCGAAAGCGUGGGGAGCAAACA
rnacentral:rRNA from 1 species